UACGUAGGUGACAAGCGUUGUCCGGAAUCAUUGGGCGUAAAGAGCGUGUAGGCGGUCCGGUAAGUCCGCUGUGAAAGUCGGGGGCUCAACCCUCGAAUGCCGGUGGAUACUGUCGGGCUAGAGUACGGAAGAGGCAAGUGGAAUUCCUGGUGUAGCGGUGGAAUGCGCAGAUAUCAGGAGGAACACCUAUAGCGAAGGCAGCUUGCUGGGACGUUACUGACGCUAAGGCGCGAAAGCGUGGGGAGCGAACAGG
rnacentral:rRNA from 1 species